GUACACCUGCUCAGACCUCCAACAGUUUCUGCAAGGGGGCGCAAAGUUGCGAAAUGGAAUUUCAAUCCUCGAUCUCAAUCAUGUAGAAUUCGAAGUUGAACAGGUUUCAGCAAUUGCACACUUUAUUUUAUUUAUUAUUAUUAUUAUUAUUAUUAUUAUUAUUAUUAUUUUUCAGUUUCAUUCGACUAAUACUUGUAGUUUACAUGCUAGUCAUCUUUCAGUCUACAGCGUAUUUCACCUGAACAUUUACUUCUAGAGCGGGGGCAGGCUGGGAAGAGAAGGGAAUGAUCGACGGGGUCAAUGAGAGUGAUCCCAACGGCCCUUUGAUGACAACUACGAAGGUUUACCUAAUUCCGCCUUUUGGCAAUGAAUGAGAAUGUACAGUACAAACGCUAGAAUGGCUGCCGAACUAGGGAGAAGUUGAGGCGAAGGCUUUUAAUGUUGUAUGGUUGCAUGGUUGCUAGUUGUGUUAUACUUUCAUCUUAAAAUACAGAAUAACCCUGGAUAAACAGGGAAUCGGCUAUGAUACAAUAAUUUACAAUGUAAGUUUUGAAGAAGUAAGACAACAAUUAUUAACUGACUGGGGCAAAGGGAUUGGGGCCACAGGGCAAAGCACUGGGCAACCAAAUGGUGAUUAUCUGUUAUUAAAAGGGGUUUUCACAACACACUUGAUAGCUGAAUGUUUGACUUUGAAAAAAAAAAAAAAAAUAGCGAAUAAAAGAUAAACAAAUAAAUAAUAGUGAAAAAAAAAAUCACACUGUUGCAAGCUCAUGAAGUGCAUCACAAGAAACAGUUGGCUCAGCUCCACGUGUCUCAACAGACAAAUUUUUUCCCUGGGGCGCUAGGGGCUUCAGAGGGGACGAGGUAGGUGAAAUAGAUGAAGU
rnacentral:sRNA from 1 species